UGGGGAAUCUUGCGCAAUGGGCGAAAGCCUGACGCAGCGACGCCGCGUGUGGGAUGACGGCCUUCGGGUUGUAAACCACUGUCGGGAGGGACGAAAAAAAUGACGGUACCUCCAAAGGAAGCACCGGCUAACUCUGUGCCAGCAGCCGCGGUAAUACAGAGGGUGCGAGCGUUGUCCGGAAUUACUGGGCGUAAAGGGCGCGUAGGCGGCCCGAUAAGUCGGGGGUGAAAUUCAGCGGCUCAACCGCUGGACUGCCUUCGAGACUGUCAGGCUCGAGCACGGUAGAGGCUGGUGGAAUUCCCGGUGUAGCGGUGGAAUGCGUAGAGAUCGGGAAGAACAUCGGUGGCGAAGGCGGCCAGCUGGGCCGUUGCUGACGCUGAGGCGCGACAGCGUGGGGAGCAAACAGGAUUAGAUACCCUGGUAGUCCACGCCGUAAACGAUGGGUACUAGGCGUCGGGGGGAGCGACCCCUUCGGUGCCGUCGUUAACACAGUAAGUACCCCGCCUGGGGAGUACGGCCGCAAGGCUGA
rnacentral:rRNA from 1 species